GAUGAACGCUGGCGGCGUGCCUAAUACAUGCAAGUCGAGCGAACGGACGAGAAGCUUGCUUCUCUGAUGUUAGCGGCGGACGGGUGAGUAACACGUGGAUAACCUACCUAUAAGACUGGGAUAACUUCGGGAAACCGGAGCUAAUACCGGAUAAUAUUUUGAACCGCAUGGUUCAAAAGUGAAAGACGGUCUUGCUGUCACUUAUAGAUGGAUCCGCGCUGCAUUAGCUAGUUGGUAAGGUAACGGCUUACCAAGGCAACGAUGCAUAGCCGACCUGAGAGGGUGAUCGGCCACACUGGAACUGAGACACGGUCCAGACUCCUACGGGAGGCAGCAGUAGGGAAUCUUCCGCAAUGGGCGAAAGCCUGACGGAGCAACGCCGCGUGAGUGAUGAAGGUCUUCGGAUUGUAAAACUCUGUUAUUAGGGAAGAACAUAUGUGUAAGUAACUGUGCACAUCUUGACGGUACCUAAUCAGAAAGCCACGGCUAACUACGUGCCAGCAGCCGCGGUAAUACGUAGGUGGCAAGCGUUAUCCGGAAUUAUUGGGCGUAAAGCGCGCGUAGGCGGUUUUUUAAGUCUGAUGUGAAAGCCCACGGCUCAACCGUGGAGGGUCAUUGGAAACUGGAAAACUUGAGUGCAGAAGAGGAAAGUGGAAUUCCAUGUGUAGCGGUGAAAUGCGCAGAGAUAUGGAGGAACACCAGUGGCGAAGGCGACUUUCUGGUCUGUAACUGACGCUGAUGUGCGAAAGCGUGGGGAUCAAACAGGAUUAGAUACCCUGGUAGUCCACGCCGUAAACGAUGAGUGCUAAGUGUUAGGGGGUUUCCGCCCCUUAGUGCUGCAGCUAACGCAUUAAGCACUCCGCCUGGGGAGUACGACCGCAAGGUUGAAACUCAAAGGAAUUGACGGGGACCCGCACAAGCGGUGGAGCAUGUGGUUUAAUUCGAAGCAACGCGAAGAACCUUACCAAAUCUUGACAUCCUUUGACAACUCUAGAGAUAGAGCUUUCCCCUUCGGGGGACAAAGUGACAGGUGGUGCAUGGUUGUCGUCAGCUCGUGUCGUGAGAUGUUGGGUUAAGUCCCGCAACGAGCGCAACCCUUAAGCUUAGUUGCCAUCAUUAAGUUGGGCACUCUAAGUUGACUGCCGGUGACAAACCGGAGGAAGGUGGGGAUGACGUCAAAUCAUCAUGCCCCUUAUGAUUUGGGCUACACACGUGCUACAAUGGACAAUACAAAGGGCAGCGAAACCGUGAGGUCAGGCAAAUCCCAUAAAGUUGUUCUCAGUUCGGAUUGUAGUCUGCAACUCGACUACAUGAAGCUGGAAUCGCUAGUAAUCGUAGAUCAGCAUGCUACGGUGAAUACGUUCCCGGGUCU
rnacentral:rRNA from 1 species